CAAAGCUGUUAUGUUUACUAAUUUAAUGAAAGUUUUAGAUGUGUGCGAAAAAUUUCAAAUUUUUGCGAUAUUGUUGUUUAUUACAUCAGUUAUACAAAACUCACAAUCGAUCGCUUUAGAGUCUGGUGAGUGAAUUCAAUGUUUACAACUUACCGGAAACGAAUGAUGAAUUUUUUCCAAAAUACUUAUCAUUUUAACAGAAUUUAAAAGAGAAGAAAUUUAUGGAAAAAUAUUUUCUUACCUUAAACUUUGGCUUCCAUAACUUCUAAAAAAAUUCUAUGACUUUAACGUUAUUUUUUAUUCCUUAUUCGGCUGUUAGCAAAUUAUAAAAUUAUGAAAAAUCUGUAGUAUUGUGUGGUAAUCGCUCUAUAUAAUUUAAAUGGUAUUCAUUGUAAAUAAUAUAUUGUUCAAUAUAAUGAAAUGA